ensembl:lncRNA
AUGGGGCGAGAGUGGGAAGAGGAACGGCGGUUCCGCAUCUUCCCCCCUCGCUUCUGCAGAGUCCCUUCUUCCCCUUUUCUGCAGGGGAAUCUCCCGUUGGAAGGAGCUGGUAGGAGCAGGUAUUUCUCUGGGCAGUCGCCGCUGGCUCCCCCACAGGCGUGCCCAGGCGCUGCCAAGCGGCGCUCGUCCCUGCGGCAUCGUCCCCGGGCCCCUGGCUGCGCCUCCAGUGCCCGCGGCGUGCCGGGGAGGUGCUGGCUGCUGGCACGCGCCGUGCAGGAGCUGAGCUGGAACACCAGAUGGCAAAAAUGUGUCCGUGCAGACCGCCGGGCUGUGGGGGAAGGAGUCAGCGACCUGCGUGCAUCAGUGACCUUUCUGAGCAGCGCCGGGGGAGGCGUUUGUAGUCAGAAGUGCUCAGCAUCCGCAGUUGGUGACGGAGAUCAUCAAAGGCCCCAAAGACACUUGGGCCGCUCUAAUUUUGAUGGAGAUCACCGUGCUGCCACGGGUGGGCAGCUCGCCCCUGGUCCCCAGCGUGGCUGCCAGGAGCCUGCACCGCGGCCCCGUUACGGCCGCGCGGGUGGGAGGCGUUCCCAGGCAGAUUAUUAGAUGACGAAGUUAAGAGUCCCUGGCACUGUAUUCCUGGAUCAUCAGGGCCCCAGAAUAGCAGCAGUCCGCCGGUCAGGGAUUGUUGACCCUGUUUCUUUGCCCUCCUGUGCCAAGAUCUGCCGUUGCCUCCCGCUGCUGCUGGCACUGCUGUCACUGCCGUGCUACGCGCGGCCCGGGCGGUCUGGCAGCACCCGGGCGGUCUGGCAGCACCCUGCCGCCCGCAGCCUCUCGCAGGAGCUGCGCGGUGGGCACGGGGAGAGCCCCGCUCCCGCCCGUCUCGGCUGCACUUCAGACCCCCGAGGAUCUGCGGGGCUGUUGGGCUGCCUUGAGCUAUUCAGUCCUCAGUCCCUUUGCUGAGGGUGUCAAGGAGGAGCUGAAAUCGCACUUAAUUGUGUGUGCACCUGCCAGCCCAGCUGCCCCUCCGAGCCCGUGACCCCCGCAGCACCGCGGGCUGGACCCCGCGCUGGUCGCUCGAGCUGCCGGUCCUCACCCUGGUCUGCGGCUCGGAAGGAAAGCUGGGGAGCUUGCUUUCGAUGGGAAGAUCAAGAGCUCUGAGGGGCCUUUGUGAAGGGUGUCUUCAGUUUGUUUGCAGGCUGUGGGUACAGGCGAGCAGCGGACGCUUUCCCAGCGCGGGGCAGCGCGUGGAAGUGCUGCUGGGGGGUGGAGGCCGCCCAGGGACGCCCGAAUGCCCUCGGUGCGGGGAGUUGAGAGCUGGGCUCCUUUUGUCAGUGAACGAGUCAAAUGCAGGGGCAGCGGCUCACUGGCAUCAGAUUUUGGCUAACACAACCCUUGAAAUGAACUCUUUAGCUUAAGGGAGCUCAAGAUUUGCAACACCAAAGGCCUUGCUGGCAGCUCGUCAGCAGCCUGAGGGCUGCACCUGCUUCGCAGAGACAUUUACAUAAACAUCUCUGAGCAGUCGUGCUCGCUCGUAACCUUUCUCUCCUGUUCUCUUGGCUUCCCCAGUGAACAAAAAACGGUUUGUUGCAGGAAUUUCACUGCCGGCCCCUGCUGAUGCCCUGGGAAGCCUUGCCAUCGGCACGCACCCCGGCCGAACGGGCCCUGCGCUCUGCUGGGGUGAGGCUGCUGCCAGAGGCCGGUGCAGGAUGAGUUCAGCACGGGGCAGUCAGAGCUCGGGCAGAGCCAGCACUCCACUGAUUCCCCGUGCUGCUGCUGUCUCGGUCUCGUAACUCAAGCGGGGCCCGAGUGCUUUAACCAAGGCUGGGGACGUGUGAGGGUGUGCUGCAGAAGCCUGGGCUGAAGGCAGCUUGAGGAAACGUCUGCGAGUUCUUUGAAUUGCCUGCCGUUGCCCACUGCGUAAGAGCACGGCAUGCUGCGUGCCUUGUUUCUCUCCACCCGUGCUCGGUGAAGUCAGUCACGUUUUUCCCCCCCAAGUCUUUGUACAUUCCUACGAAGAGGUCACGGCUCGAAGCCCGCUGUUAGCGUACCAGCGAUUCUUGCAGCUCCCCGCCAGCUGUCGGGGUUGGCGUGCACUGAGCUUCGUGGGCAGCGUGCGGGGAGGUGUCUGGAUGCCGGGGCCCUUGGCGCCACAGGACUUGCAUAAAUAAAUUUCGUUUGUGCCAUGUUCA